rnacentral:rRNA from 1 species
CCCUGUAAGAGGGGGAACCCCGGAAACUGGGGAUAAUACCCCAUAGAUUAGGGAGGCUGGAAUGCCCCCUAGUUCAAAGGUCCGCCGCCUCAGGAUGGGUCUGCGGCCGAUUAGGUUGUUGUUGGGGUAACGGCCCAACAAGCCUUUGAUCGGUACGGGUUGUGGGAGCAAGAGCCCGGAGAUGGAUUCUGAGACACGAAUCCAGGCCCUACGGGGCGCAGCAGGCGCGAAAACUUUACAAUGCGAGAAAUCGUGAUAAGGGAACCCCGAGUGCCCGUAAAUUCGGGCUGUCCGCCAGUGCAAAAAACUGGUGAAGAAAGAGCCGGGCAAGACCGGUGCCAGCCGCCGCGGUAAUACCGGCGGCUCGAGUGGUGGCCACUAUUACUGGGCUUAAAGCGUCCGUAGCUGGGUUGUUAAGUCUCCUGGGAAAUCCAUCGGCUCAACCGAUGGGCGUUCAGGAGAUACUGGCGACCUAGGGACCGGGAGAGGUGAGAGGUACUCCAGGGGUAGGAGUGAAAUCCUGUAAUCCUUGGGGGACCACCUGUGGCGAAGGCGUCUCACCAGAACGGCUCCGACAGUGAGGGACGAAAGCUGGGGGAGCAAACCGGAUUAGAUACCCGGGUAGUCCCAGCUGUAAACGAUGCGCGUUAGGUGUAUCGGUGACCACGAGUCACCGAGGUGCCGAAGAGAAAUCGUGAAACGUGCCGCCUGGGAAGUACGGUCGCAAGGCUGAAACUUAAAGGAAUUGGCGGGGGAGCAC